rnacentral:rRNA from 1 species
AAUAUUGAGAUCGGCCCCAUUUCUUAAUCCACUUCACACUUGUGCACAUUUUUCCUACUUUCCUUCGGGAGAGUUUGAAAAGCUCUUGUGAUUUUAAUCAAGUCCAGGAUGUGAAUCCAAUUUGAAUAAGUUGUAAAACAACUACAAACGGUGGAUCUCUUGGCUCUCGUAUCGAUGAAGAACGCAGCGAAACGCGAAAUGUAAUGUGAAUUGCAGAAUUCAGUGAAUCAUCGAAUCUUUGAACGCAUCUUGCACUCUCGAAUCACUAUCGAGAGUAUGCCUGUUUGAGUGUCGCGAAACUCUCAACCCCGCCUCAUGCUUUAUUGCGUGUGGGUAGCUUGGGCUUGGAUCAUGAUCUUUGCAGUAAUGCGCUAGCAGAACUGCUGGAUUGAAAUACAACAAGCUGAAUCUAUAUACUUGCGGCUUGACCUGUCGUUGUAAGCACACAAAUGCAUUCGAUGGGGACGCGAGAAAAUGGAAUGAGCUUUCCAAAUGUGUUACACUUUGCAGCUUCUAUUAACUUAGAGCUCUUAGUGCAUUCUGACCUCAAAUCAGGUAGGAUUACCCGCUGAACUUAAGCAUAUCAAUAAGCGGAGGA